rfam:Aedes albopictus isolate Foshan contig25165, whole genome shotgun sequence.
GGCUCGGUAGCUUAGUUGGUAAAGCACCUGUCUAGCGAAUAAGGGUCGUGAGUUCAAAUCUCACCUGAGCUG